rnacentral:rRNA from 1 species
CCUACGGGAGGCAGCAGUGGGGGAUAUUGCGCAAUGGGCGAAAGCCUGACGCAGCGACGCCGCGUGAGGGAUGAAGGUCUUCGGAUCGUAAACCUCUGUCAGCAGGGAAGAACGGUCACUGUGCUAAUCAGCAGUGAAUUGACGGUACCUGCAAAGGAAGCACCGGCUAACUCCGUGCCAGCAGCCGCGGUAAAAACGAGGGGGCGGGCGGUAAUCGGAAUUACUGGGGCUAAAGCGCUCGUAGGAGGGAUGUCAAGUCAAGGGUGAAAUCCCCGGGCGCAACGUGGGGGAUGGCUUUGGAACUGGCAAAGUGGAGUGUGUGAGAGGAUAGUGGAAUUCCAGGUGUAGGAGUGGAA